UAAGGCGCUCAUCAAACAUGCCAUACUGGAGAACGACUUCAUGAAGAACCUGCAGAAUGACCAGAUCCAGGAGAUCGUCGAGUGCAUGUACCCGGUGGAAUACAAGCGUACCUCGCUCAUCAUCAAGGAGGGCGACAUCGGCAGUGUCCUGUUCGUACUCGAAGAGGGUCAGGCGGAGGUG